rnacentral:rRNA from 1 species
UCCCAAACAGCUAGCUCACCCUCAAAGACCAACAACCCCCAUUAAUAAACCCACACCAACUACCAAGCACAUGACUAAACCAUUCUGCCCCCCUAGUAUAGGAGAUAGAAAAGGACACAGCACGCAAUAAAGAAGUACCGCAAGGGAAGGCUGAAAGAGCGAUGAAAGAGCCCAGUUAAGGAAACAGAAGCAGAGCUAAGACCUCGUACCUUUUGCAUCAUGAUUUAGCUAGUAACCCUCGAGCAAAGUGACCUUUACGUUCGAGCCCCCGAAACUAGACGAGCUACUCCAAGACAGCCUGUUGAAGGGCAAAUCCGUCUCUGUGGCAAAAGAGUGGAGAGAGCUUAGAGUAGAGGUGACAGACCUACCGAGCCUAGUGAUAGCUGGUUCCCUGAGAAUUGAAUAGAAGUUCAGCCUUUUGUUUUCUUAAGCCAAACAGGUUCACUCCAAACCCGGCUCAAAGGACAUCAAAGGAGUUAUUCAACGGAGGAACAGCUCCAUUGAAAAAAGAUACAACUUUAAUAGGAGGUUAAAGAUCAUAAGAAUUAAAGGCGUAGUACCCAAGUGGGCCUAAGAGCAGCCACCCUAAUAGAGAGCGUUAAAGCUCAAGUACUUGGUCCCUAAAAUCUCGACAUUCCCCCUCUGAUGCCUCUUUAUUUACCAGGGCUUUCCAUGCCCGCAUGGAAGAGACACUGCUAAUAUGAGUAAUAAGAGAGCCCAGGCUCUCUCGCACGCACCUGUGUAUAUCAGAACGAACCCCCACUGAAAAUUAACGCCCCCACAAACAGAGGGUACUGGGACAAUCUGACAAAAACAGGAAAACUCCUCAAUGAACAGCGUUACCCCUACACAGGAGUGCUCCGCGAAAGACAAAAAGAAGGAGAAGGAAUUCGGCAAACUCUGGCCUCGCCUGUUUACCAAAAACACCGCCUCUUGCUACUGUAAUAUAAGAGGUCCCGCCUGCCCUGUGACUAACAGUUUAACGGCCGCGGUAUUUUGACCGUGCGAAGGUAGCGUAAUCACUUGUCUCUUAAAUGGAGACCUGUAUGAAUGGCAUAACGAGGGCUAAGCUGUCUCCUCCCUCCAGUCAAUGAAAUUGAUCUGCCCGUGCAGAAGCGGGCAUUUUCACAUAAGACGAGAAGACCCUAUGGAGCUUCAGACCCCAAGGCAAACUACAUUAGGCCCCCCUGACUCACCAGGGCCAAGCCCAGUAGCGUCCUUUGUCUGGGUGUCUUUGGUUGGGGCGACCGCGGGGAAAGACAAAACCCCCACGUGGAAAGGGAUACUCUCCUUAAAACCAGAGCCACAGCUCUAAUUAACAGAAAAUCUGACCAUCAAGAUCCGGCACCGCCGAUCAACGGACCCAGUUACCCUAGGGAUAACAGCGCAAUCCCCUUUUAGAGCCCAUAUCGACAAGGGGGUUUACGACCUCGAUGUUGGAUCAGGACUUCCUAAUGGUGCAGCCGCUAUUAAGGGUUCGUUUGUUCAACGAUUAAAGUCCUACGUGAUCUGAGUUCAGACCGGAGAAAUCCAGGUCAGUUUCUAUCUAUGGUUGUGCUCUUCUCUAGUACGAAAGGACCGAGAAGAGGGGGCCCAUGCUGCAAGUAAGCCCCUCCCCCACCUAAUGUUGCCCACUAAAGUAGGUAACGGAGGCACACCCCUUGCCUGAGAAAAAGGCUA